UACGUAGGGUGCAAGCGUUAAUCGGAAUUACUGGGCGUAAAGCGCACGCAGGCGGUCUGUCAAGUCGGAUGUGAAAUCCCCGGGCUCAACCUGGGAACUGCAUUCGAAACUGGCAGGCUAGAGUCUUGUAGAGGGGGGUAGAAUUCCAGGUGUAGCGGUGAAAUGCGUAGAGAUCUGGAGGAAUACCGGUGGCGAAGGCGGCCCCCUGGACAAAGACUGACGCUCAGGUGCGAAAGCGUGGGGAGCAAACAGG
rnacentral:rRNA from 1 species